rnacentral:lncRNA from 10 species
CGUGGGUGACGACGCCAACGUCUUGUAUGAAAUCACUGUUGCAAACCUCCUGGGGAAUGUAGAGGGGUUGCCAGGCAGCAAUCCCUCUAACGACAUGACAAGAAUGAUGGAGAACACUGUCAACUGAGAGCCCAAGUCCUCAGUGGAUGAGGAGGUGUAAGCAGAAGACCAGCAGACAGCAGUCACCGAGAGGGACAGCAGGUGACUCUGCUGCCUUUGGAAGAGAAAUGUCUUGGACGCAACCACAGGAAGCAUGGAGGAUAUAGACCCUACUUUAGAUUCUGCGUGGAAGAAAAGAGACGGUUCAGAGCUGGCCUGCAGUGACAGAGGAACAAGGCCUGUUUGCGGUGGAUAUGAUUGGAUGGCCAGGACAGGAAGCCAGGACCUGGAAGGAGAGCAAACAAAAUGAGUUUUUCAAAAAGCUAGAUGACAGUGGAACCAUGCAGAGAUGAAAAACGGUGCAACAGGAAACUAGGAAAGCAGAAAACAGAAAUAGUGUAAUUUCGUAACAUUAACAGAGGAGAAAGCCAGCCACCAUGUCACAAGGCCACUCAAGCAGCCCUGUGGAGAGGUCCAUGUGGCAAGGGGCUGAGGCCUCUUAACGUCAACUUGCCAGUGAUGUCAGUGAGCCAUCAUGGAAGCAGAUCCCCCAGCCCCAUUGAAGCCCACAGUUGACUGUAGCCUCAGCCAACAUCUUUACUGCAAGGCACCCUGCCAGACCACCCAGCUAAACCGCUUAAUUCCUAACCUGCAGAAACUAAGAUAAUGAAUGUUACUAUUACAGAUUGUUGUGGUUUAAAUUUUGUUGCCAGGAUUGAGGGGCAUUUAUUGUGGAACAAUGGAUAACAAAUACAAAUGUUAUGGAAUCACACCGUGAUAUUUUAGCUUGCUUGUUUUUAUAAAGAGGUGGAAAUGCCCAUGUCAUAACCUUCUCAGGAGCUCUAGUUCACAAUCUAUGUGAAUGCUCUGUAUUUGGCACACAGCAAGUACUCCACAAACACUUGUUGCAGC